rnacentral:rRNA from 1 species
AACGAACGCUGGCGGCAUGCCUAACACAUGCAAGUCGAACGCGACCCUCGGGCCUAGUCGCGCACGGGUGCGUAACGCGUGGGAACCUGCCCUUAGGCUCGGCAUAACUCCCCGAACGGGGUGCUAACACCGGAUAAUGUCCUCGGACCAAAGAUUGAUCGCCUUUGGCUGGGCCCGCGUUGGAUUAGCUAGUUGCUAGGGUAAAAGCCUACCAAGGCGACGAUCCAUAGCUGGUCUGAGAGAAUGAUCAGCCACACUGGCGCUGAGACCCGGCCCAGACUGCUACGGAAGGCAGGAGUGUGUAAUAUUGGACAGAAGGCGGAAGGGUGAGGCAGCAAUGCCGCGAGAGUGAUGCAGCCCUUAGGGUUGGAAAGCACUGUUGGCCGAGAGGGUAGUGACAGUACCGGGAGGAUAAGCCCCGGCUAACUCCGUG